GAGUGCCUCGAGGGCGCCGUUCGGGCGGGGAGGAUCCCGCGGGUCCCACUGACCCACGCGGGGUGGGGCCAGGGGUGGACGCUCGCCCGUACGCGGUCGCUACUGAUCAUGCUUGGGCCAGGGUCCAAUCGCAGGCGCCCCACGCAGGGGGAGCGAGGCCCAGGGUCCCCCGGAGAGCCCAUGGAGAAGUACCAGGUUUUGUACCAGCUGAAUCCUGGGGCCUUGGGGGUGAACCUGGUGGUGGAGGAAAUGGAAACCAAAGUCAAGCAUGUGAUAAAGCAGGUGGAAUGCAUGGAUGACCAUUACGCCAGUCAGGCCCUGGAGGAGCUGAUGCCACUGCUGAAGCUGCGGCACGCCCACAUCUCUGUGUACCAGGAGCUGUUCAUCACGUGGAAUGGGGAGAUCUCUUCUCUGUACCUCUGCCUGGUGAUGGAGUUCAAUGAGCUCAGCUUCCAGGAGGUCAUUGAGGAUAAGAGGAAGGCAAAGAAAAUCAUUGACUCUGAGAUCAAGACAGAAGGCGUUCCUAACACUAGAAGGUUCCCAGUCGGUGACCAUGAUUCCAGAUUGUUCUGCCGGUCCCUGAAGUUCCUAGACAAGGUUUUGCUAUGUUGCCCAGGCUGGUCUCGAACUCCUGACCUCAAGUGAUCCACCCGCCUCGGCCUCCCAGAGUGCUGGGAUUACAGAUGUGAGCCGCCGCGCCUAGCCAGUUCACUUUCUUAAUGAUGUCUUUUGAUGAUGGAAAGUCCUAACUGUAAUGGAGUUCGCUUUCCCAAUGCUGACUCUUAUGGUUAGUGCCUUUGGAGUUUAAGAAGCAUUUCCUGCUCCAAGAUCAUGAAGAUACUCUCCUCUGUCUUAUGGAAGCUUGGUUAUUUUUGCCUUCACAUUUAGAUCUUUCAUCUACCCCAGAUGAAUGCUACCUGCUUUUACCCUGAGAACUGUGUUUGGGGGGACCAUGUACCCCUGAGGGGCUCUUCGGGGCACACAGCUCUUCUCUUACCAUGGGCCUCAGAGGCAGGCCCGGAGUGAGUUUCAGACUUUGUGAGUGAAGCCCUUCAAAACACGAAAUAUUCCCAGAAACCCAGUAAGUGCAGCAGACCUACUCUAACUGGGGGCAGUGGGAGGACGCCCACAUCCUGCCCCCUCAGCCCCUCUCUGACACCCCAGGGUGGCCCUGAAUCCAGGGGCCCUAGGAGCCCAGCUUUAGAAUCACCGCGCUGGGUACUCGAUGGAGCUUGUCUCUGAUGCAGAACACUCCUAGCAUUCUCUCUCAGGGCUCUUUUCAUUUGAAUGACCUAGAGGAUUGAGCUCAUGUAGGCACUGAAGGCUUCCACCUCUCCCAUACCCGCAAGGCCGAUCUGCCUUCAGCUCCCAGCAAGUGUGGGGCAGCGCGGGCCACAGAGUAGGGUGCAGGGAUGGGGCCCCUGCAGCACCCAGGGUCUCUGGUAUGGAGACAGCAGUGUGGAGUCUGGAAACUCAGAGUCCUUCUGGCUGCCGCCGCGGCUUUACCAUCUGGAGAGCCACCACGCUGAAGCCUCCUCCACCCUGAGCGCUUGGCUGGCUUCAGGCCUGUCUCAAGAUGCAAGGAGAGGAUACACCACCAUCCUGCUGGCUGCUCUGAGUGUCACCCCCCUGAAAGCAGCACAGGGUGCCCCUCCCAUCCUGGCACCCCCUACUUCUCCCCCAGUGGAUGCAGAAUGUGCUGGGCCAGGUGCUGGACGCGCUGGAAUACCUGCACCAUUUGGACAUCAUCCACAGACCCCUUUCGUAAGUCCUGGAUGGCCCCUGAAGCCCUCAACUUCUCCUUCAGCCAGAAAUCAGACAUCUGGUCCCUGGGCUGCAUCAUUCUGGACAUGACCAGCUGCUCCUUCAUGGAUGGCACAGAAGCCAUGCAUCUGCGGAAGUCCCUCCGCCAGAGCCCAGGCAGCCUGAAGGCCGUCCUGAAGACAAUGGAGGAGAAGCAGAUCCCGGAUGUGGAAACCUUCAGGAAUCUUCUGCCCUUGAUGCUCCAGAUCGACCCCUCGGAUCGAAUAACGAUAAAGUCUGCCGUGGCCCCCGGAGCUGGUGGAGGUGGUGGUCACGACCAUGGAGCUACAUGACAGGGUCCUCGAUGUCCAGCUGUGUGCCUGCUCCCUGCUGCUGCACCUCCUGGGCCAAGGUAUCAUUGUGAACAAGGCCCCCUUGGAGAAGGUCCCGGACCUCAUCAGCCAGGUGUUGGCCACCUACCCUGCGGAUGGGGAAAUGGCAGAAGCCAGCUGCGGAGUCUUCUGGCUGCUGUCCCUGCUGGGCUGCAUCAAGGAGCAGCAGUUUGAACAAGUGGUGGCGCUGCUCCUGCAAAGCAUCCGGCUGUGCCAGGACAGAGCCCUGCUGGUGAACAAUGCCUACCGGGGACUGGCCAGCCUGGUGAAGGUGUCAGAGCUGGCGGCCUUCAAGGUGGUGGUGCAGGAGGAGGGCGGCAGUGGCCUCAGCCUCAUCAAGGAGACCUACCAGCUCCACAGGGACGACCCGGAGGUGGUGGAGAACGUGGGCAUGCUGCUGGUCCACCUGGCUUCCUAUGAGGAGAUCCUGCCGGAGCUGGUGUCCAGUAGUAUGAAGGCCCUGCUCCAGGAGAUCAAGGAGCGCUUCACCUCCAGCCUGGUGAGUGACAGCAGCGCCUUCAGCAAACCAGGCCUCCCUCCAGGUGGAAGCCCCCAGCUGGGGUGCACCACGUCUGGGGGACUGGAAUAGAUGUUUGUAUGGAACUGACCUUGAUCUCCACGUGUAUAGUUUUCAAGACUGCUCUCCUGCCUGCCUAUUAUCCCAUCUCUAUGACUGGGCCAAAAUCAAUCUUAAACGGGAGGGGUAAUCAGACCUCUCCAAAGAGUUUCCUGUCCAUGACUGCUGGAUUGAGUCACAUGAGUAACUGCUCCUGGACCCGGGGACUGUCCACGAAAACUGACUUGCCUGCUUCCUCCUUCCAGGAACUGGUUUCUUGCGCGGAAAAAGUGCUCUUGAGGCUGGAGGCAGCCACCUCUCCCAGCCCACUGGGUGGGGAAGCAGCUCAGCCCUGAUGCGGGGGAGAAGACAGAUACCCCACAGGCCCCUCCCUCCACGUGUGCCCUCUCCCUGUCCUUCCUUUCCAUGGGCCACUGUUUCCCUUGGGGUGGGGGGAAGGGUCAUCCAGCACCAGAAUGCGCAUCUCACACUCCUCUUAGGUGACUAAUAAAGAGGCCCAAGGCCAGUUUCUGCCUUAAUCAUUUCUGGCAAGAGGCUGUGACUGGCCAGUGGGAUACUUAAUUCUGCAGUCUCUAUAGACCUCGCCCCUGGACAGAGCAGUCCUUCCAGACCAUUCUAGAUGAGAGUCAACACUGAGCCUCCACAGGCUCCAUUCCAAGUAAACAUCUGCAUUUAUUUUAAAUCGCA